CUAUCUAUCUAUCUAUCUAUCUAUGCUCUUCGCGCCACAUAAGGCUUCCAUGCACGUUUUCCAUUUAUCCCUUUGUUUUUCAAGUUUCCUUGCCGCAUUCCAUGAUGAACAUUCAGCUUGAUUCCUUUCCUUUUCCACUGUCCCUUUUCAUAUGGUCAUUGAUCUUCCAACUUUUCUCAUUCCCUCUGGCUGCCAAGUCAAAGCAAUCAUGCAAUGAUAAUUGAGUUCCUUUCUUAAUACAUGUUCAAUCCAAUUCCAUCUUUUCCCUUUUACUUCUUGGCUUAUCCUGUGGACUUGGGUUAUUUUGCUGAGUCCAUCCAUUGAUAUUAUGUUUCGCCCCCCUAUCUGAAUUAUUUUCUUCAGGUUUUUGUACUGAAAAGAAUCCAGUUUUCUCUUAUCACUAUUGUUCAUUGUACAAGUUUCACAGCCAUAAAGAAGUACAGGUCUUACCAGCGUUUUGUGGAGUUUAAUUUUUGUAUCACUUCCAAAUUGUUUUGAUCAUCACACUUUGUCCAAUUUGAUAAAAGCACUUCUGGCUUUGUUGAUUCUGCUUAUCAUAUCUUUUCCUCCACCACCUUCAGCAUAGUCCAGGUCUUCAAGGCAUGACGUCAUUUGCCAUCUUAUCCCAAUGUUAUUCAUCGUGGUCUUCCUCAUCCCCCUGUCUAUGACGAGUAGAAACAAGAAUCCAGACGUAACGUCGCCUUGUUUUACGCCUGUUUUUACUUGGAACCAUUUCACCAUCGUCCACUACUGCACAUUCACCAUCUUUGUACAUUAAUUUGACUAUGUUGAUAAUUUUGUUUGGUAUGCCAUACUGCCUCAUGAUCUCCCAUAAACUGUCCGUAUGAACUAAAUCGAAAGCAUUUCGAGAUUGAACAAUAUAUACA